rnacentral:rRNA from 1 species
UACGAAGGGUGCAAGCGUUACUCGGAAUUACUGGGCGUAAAGCGUGCGUAGGCGGUUUGUUAAGUCCGUUGUGAAAGCCCCCGGCUCAACCGGGGAGGGUGGUGCCGAACUGGGCUUCUUGAGGGCGAUAGAGGAGAGUGGAAUUCCGGGUGUAGCGGUGAAAUGCGUAGAGAUCCGGAGGAACACCAGUGGCGCAGGCGGCUCUCUGGGUCGGCCCUGACGCUGAGGCGCGAAAGCGUGGGGAGCGAACGGG